GAUGAACGCUAGCGGGAGGCCUAAUACAUGCAAGUCGAACGGUAACAGGGUAGCAAUACCGCUGACGAGUGGCGCACGGGUGCGUAACGCGUACACAACCUGCCUUAUACUGGGGCAUAACCUUGGGAAACUGAGGCUAAUUCCCCAUAACAUAUCGAAAAGGCAUCUUUUUGAUAUUAAAACUCCGGUGGUAUAAGAUGGGUGUGCGUCCGAUUAGGUAGUUAGUGAGGUAACGGCUCACCAAGCCAACGAUCGGUAGCUGGUCUGAGAGGAUGAUCAGCCACACGGGCACUGAGACACGGGCCCGACUCCUACGGGAGGCAGCAGUAGGGAAUAUUGGACAAUGGGCGCAAGCCUGAUCCAGCCAUCCCGCGUGAAGGAUUAAGGCCCUCUGGGUUGUAAACCUCUUUCAAUAGGGACGAAGCGCAAGUGACGGUACCUAUAGAAGAAGCACCGGCAACUACGUGCCAGCAGCCGCGGUAAU
rnacentral:rRNA from 1 species